rnacentral:rRNA from 1 species
AACGCAUUAAGCACUCCGCCUGGGGAGUACGGUCGCAAGACUGAAACUCAAAGGAAUUGACGGGGGCCCGCACAAGCGGUGGAGCAUGUGGUUUAAUUCGAAGCAACGCGAAGAACCUUCCCAGGUCUUGACAUCCUCUGACAAUCCUAGAGAUAGGACGUCCCCUUCGGGGGCAGAGUGACAGGUGGUGCAUGGUUGUCGUCAGCUCGUGUCGUGAGAUGUUGGGUUAAGUCCCGCAACGAGCGCAACCCUUGAUCUUAGUUGCCAGCAUUCAGUUGGGCACUCUAAGGUGACUGCCGGUGACAAACCGGAGGAA